AACGAACGCUGGCGGCAAGCUUAACACAUGCAAGUCGAGCGCCCCGCAAGGGGAGCGGCAGACGGGUGAGUAACACGUGGGAACCUUCCUAGAGGUACGGAACAACUCAGGGAAACUUGAGCUAAUACCGUAUACGCUCUUGCGAGGAAAGAUUUAUCGCCUUUAGACGGGCCCGCGUCGGAUUAGCUAGUUGGUGGGGUAACGGCCUACCAAGGCGACGAUCCGUAGCUGAUCUGAGAGGAUGAUCAGCCACACUGGGACUGAGACACGGCCCAGACUCCUACGGGAGGCAGCAGUGGGGAAUCUUGGACAAUGGGCGCAAGCCUGAUCCAGCCAUGCCGCGUGAGUGAAGAAGGCCUUCGGGUUGUAAAGCUCUUUUGCCAGGGACGAUAAUGACGGUACCUGGAGAAUAAGCCCCGGCAAACUUCGUGCCAGCCGCCGCUGUAA
rnacentral:rRNA from 1 species